AGUCACUAGGUCAUCUCAGCUGAAGGCCCUUAGUCAGUUAAACUUCCAGCUGACUGCACUCACCAGCCUGAGUGCAGAGGCCCGCAGGAGGGUAACGACCCACAGAAGCAUAGCUCCAAUUGCCAAACCUCAAAACUUUAUGGCAUGAGAGAUUUUACUUGGAGCAUGCAGGAUCUGGUUCCCUGACCAGGGAUCAAACCUGGGCCCCCUGCAUAGGGGAGUGGGGAGUCAUAACCACUGGACCACCAGGGGAGUCUCUUGAAGAUUUUAUCACUGCAUUCCUCGCUGCAGGAGACAGAGCCUGGCCUGCGUGCAAGGAGCGCUGGCUGCAGGGCAGUAGGGAAGUGUGUGGUGCACACUGACGCACACUCGCAUGUUUCCUCCCUGAUACAGCUGUGUCCAGUGCACAGAAGCCGUGGAUACUUGUCAGCAGAUGGACCCCACAGUCUGUCUUUGAUCCUGUCCCUGUAGACUGGGGAGCCGAGGCCAGCAAGGGAAGACUGCCCAGCUGGGCCCCCGCUGUCUGGCUCUUGGGAUCAGGGUAAAGGCACAGAGCAGCAGAGGAAUUUUCCAGAGAGAGUACCUCACCUGGAAAUCCUGGGCACCCUUCUCAAUAGUUUUCUGACUACUGAAGAAGGAAAACUUUCUGUCUAACUAAUGAUCCAGAAAAGUCUGGGGAAGAACUUUGGCCCAGCUGGGGCCAUUUGCUUACUUCUCAGACUACAUACUGUGGACAAAGGGACAGAGAGACUGUGGUCGGCAAUUCCAGAAAUUGGAUGAAGUGAGGAAGGAGCAUGUCCUUGAAGAAGGUCAUUGUUCUGAUGAGAUAGAUGAUAAAUGUUCUCUAAAUCAAGUCUAUAAUAUCGCUGUGAACCAAGAGUUCUAGACUGAGAACAGAAUACAAUUACACUGCAAAAAACCUCUGUGGAGACUCUUUGGGGGCUGUGCUGGAUCUUCAUGCUGCACACAAGCUUUCUCUAGUUGCAGCGAGUGGGGGUUACUCUCCAGCUGCUGUGUGCAGGCUUCUCACUGUGGUGGCUUCUCUCGUUGUGAAGCACAGGCUCUAGAAUGUGAGGGAUUCAUUAGUUGUGCACUGGUUUAGUUGCCUCUUGGCAUGUGGGAUCUUCCCAAGCUAGGGAUUGAACCAGUGUCCCUUGAAUUGCAAGGUGGAUUCCUAACCAAUGGACCAUGAGGUAAGCCCCAAAGACGUUUUUAGUUUUUUUUUUUUUUCCCUACACUCCCUUAAAUUUUUUUUUUCCAAAGACUUUUAAAAAUGAUUAUUAUGAUAAAAGUUUCAUUAUGCCAGCAAGUCAAAACAACUAAAAAUGUUAUGCACUUAAUACAGACUGCAAAUAUAUGGUCAAAAUUGAUAGAAAUACAAGGAUAAGUAGACAAAUCCACAAUCAUAGUGGAAAAUAUUAAUGUACUCUUCUGAUUUACUAUAUCACAAAGAUAAAAACCAUUAAGGCCACGGACAAUUUGAAGUACACAAUCCCAUUUGACCUGAAAGAAACUCUGCACCCAAUAGUGGCAGACUUACAUAUUCUUUUCAAACACACAGUUUGGGAAAAUUGGUCCAUGAAACAGGUAUCAACAUAGGCCAAAGAAUCAGUACCAUACCGGUCAUGUUCUCUGAGCUAAACGUGAUUCACCUAGAUUCCACUUCCUGUGUGGCCAAGGAGGCUCCUAAUAAAGUGAUUCAGCAAAGGGAACUAACAACUCGAACAAAAUAUGAAAUAACUGCCUUAAAGGCUCCAGGGAGUGAAACAAAGCAGGCACAUUUGGGAUGGGAGUAACCCUUGGAGGAAGGGAUUAGCCUCGAGUGACUUCACCAUUUUGAUAGGGUUUCACUUGAAACUACCUUUGAAAAGGAAACAACGCAGAAUAACUUUUGGCCAUGUGUAUGAGCUUAGUCACUCAGUGGCAACUGUGGCCCCAUGGACUGCAGCCUGCCAGGCUCCUCUGCCCAUGGGGAUUCUCCAGGCAAGAAUACUGGAGUGGGUUGCCGUUUCCUUCUCCAGGGGACCUUCCCGACCCAGGGAUCAAAACUAUCUCCUGUAUUGCAGGCAGAUUCUUGACCCUCUGAGCCACCAGCGAAGCCCCAGCUUUUGACGGUGCUCCUCAUUUAUUCACUGAUUGCUUGAUGGGUGAGAUCAAUUAACUUCAGGUAGAGAUUUGGUUACUACUCAACAGAUGUCUUGGUGAAAGCAUAUGCCCAGCCUUGUCCCAGCCAAAUAAUUGAUAUGGUUGGCCAAAAACAUUUUUCCAACUCCUCUAAAAUCAAUUAUUUGAACUUACCCCUUAGUCUAUCUGAACUCCCUCAACCCAUUCAACCAUGAUCAUGAUUCUGAAACCGAGUAGUCCUAGCUUACUUGGCUACCUUUGAAAAUUCAUUCCAAAAAGAUGCAUGUUGACAUAGACAUGGAAAAUUAGACAUUAUUUACUAGUCCUUCCUCCUUUUCUCCUCCCUUCCUCCCCUCCAGUAUGUUGGUAAUAAAUGUAAUACCUCUGAAAUCGUCCUUGUUAGAUUAGUAGCAGGUCACUAAGUCAGUGAUGGGUUUGUAAUUAGGGUGAAGUUCUUUCUAUUUGCCCAUAUUACUUUUUUAACCAUGCGUAAAGUCUCACUAAUGAAGUGGAAAUCUGAUAAAUUGAGACAGUUUAAACUGCAUUCUUGUGGCUUAUGUGUAUUUGCAACAGUUUUGAAUGGGAAAGACCCAAGGACAUACCAAUACACUUGCUAAAAGUUCAAUGAAUUGAUCAGGGCUGCCGAGAGAUGAAUAAGGAACACACGAAAAACCAGAAACUGCCAAAAGAUAGACAAUAGUAGCCUAUGUAAAAAACAAAUAAAAAACUUUAAAAAGGUGGAGCUGCUUUUUCACUCUUGCAUGGAGAAGAUACUCUUGGCAGAAGGCGCCUGUGAUGAGUCAAGGAAAUGAUUUUGAUUAUGAGGAAUUUUUUUAAAGAAGGAAAAUAGGGCAUAUUUAUAACUUGUCAGUUAUUGUAAGUUUUAUGGCUGUGACUUAUUAGCUGCCAAACAAGCAAGUGAAUGUUUUUCUGUCUCCUGGCAGUCUCUCAGUCACCAUUCUUGAUGCCUUAUUAACAAAAAUUAAAUGGUAUGUCAGUAAGAUGGCUUUUAUUUCAACACACAAAUGUUUUUAAUAAGUUUUAAAAGUGGAAAUAAUUAAACCCAUUUUCUCUUUUCAGAAGAUGUUUCAACUUUGCUUGUAAGCUGUUAAUAAGCUUGAAAUCCAAAUUUUAAAAAAUUCAUACAAAACAAGGUUAAAGAGGAAUCUGAUGGGAUGUUAAGAGUGGUUCUCUUAUGAAUGGGAUUUUAGUUAAUAUUACUUUCCUCUAUUUUUCUACUCUAAAUAUACACUUGUAAAUCAGGAGGGAAGUUAUUAAAGUGGAAAACAUCUCUGACAAAGACCAUAUUACAACUAGUCCAUUUCUCAAGGCAAUCAUUUCAUUUAUAUAAAC
ensembl:lncRNA